CACCGUAUGAAACCCCUCAUCCAGAAUAGAAAAACGGGCCCUAUCUGGUAACUGGGCACAGCUGGCGCCUUCCCCAACUGGUCAGGGGCCCAACGGGGACUGUGCGGGGAGACGACUGCCUGGGUAUUUUCUUUGCUUUGAUUUUUUUUCUUCUUUGUUUUGUUUUUGCCUUUAGUUGGUGUACGCACUCCCUGGGUAACCUGGAGCGGCUUGCAUGUCUGGGUAACAUCAUCAGUGUGACCUCCGAUGAAGCGAUGUUGUUCUACUCUGCUUGGAAUUUAUACUGUCUGGUCAGUUAUGAACCAUGACUCUAGGAACAAACCUACCUUGGCGACGAAACAACUGAACGAAAAUAAGCCAGCUCAAUGAGCAAGUCAACAACCUCACUCACAACCAGAACUACAAAUCUUUGCUAAAACCUUAAGUACUGAGGGGGAUAAGGACAGUGUUCUUCAAUUUUGGAAGAGCUUUAACAUCAAGAAUGCUGUUGACAUUAUUGUGUAAGCCUGGGAUGAUAUCAGUAAGGACUGCUUGCAUGUUGUUUGGUGGGAGCUUCUUCCAGAUUCUAUUCAUGAUUUGAACAGCUUUGAACCAUCAGAGGAGUUCCCAAGAAUCAAAGACCAUUAUGUGGCUCUUGCAAAGUAAGUUGGAUUUGAAGUGGAGAGUAAGAAAAUUGAAGAGCUGCUUGAGUCCAACUGUGAAGACCUCUCUACAGCUGAUCAGCAAUAACUUGUUGCUAAGGGCAAAUGGAAGCUGGAGAUGAAGUCCAGGAUGCAGCAUCGUGAGAGCUUUCCACUGUUUUCUUUUGUGUUCUAUCUUGAGGGAAGUUGAGAAACAGUUUUAAGUUCUAAGAAGACAUUGAGUACAAUGCAGAAUGCAGCAGGAUCGUGGUUUAACAUAGAACAUAGAACAUUACAGCACAGUACAGGCCUUUCGGCCCUCGAUGUUGUGCCGACCUUUCAUACCGAUCUGAAGCCCAUCUAACCUACACUAUUCCAUGUACGUCCAUAUGCUUAUCCAAUGACGACUUAAAUGUACCUAAAGGUGGAAUAAGGUCUUAUUUGGCGUUCUGUGAGCAGCUUCUUCAUGAAAGAAGACAAAUGGCAAAGCAGCAAAAAUUGGAUGUCUUUUUUAAGCCAACCCCCAAGAAACAGUCAGAAGACAGUGGACCACAGCCAUCCACUUCUGGAUUAACUAUUUUUCAUCCUAACCCUGCAACCACAACUGCACCUGAAGGUGAUGAUGAUGACAACCCUCAGCCUCUGUCUUAGCAACACAGCAACCUCAAAACCACCCUCCUCGCCUAUCAAGUUAUCUUCAGAUAUUU